rnacentral:rRNA from 1 species
CAGCCGCCGCGGUAAUACGAAGGGGGCUAGCGUUGCUCGGAAUUACUGGGCGUAAAGGGAGCGUAGGCGGAUCGUUAAGUUGGGGGUGAAAGCCCGGGGCUCAACCUCGGAACUGCCUUCAAUACUGGCGAUCUUGAGUAUGAGAGAGGUGUGUGGAACUCCGAGUGUAGAGGUGAAAUUCGUAGAUAUUCGGAAGAACACCAGUGGCGAAGGCGACACACUGGCUCAUUACUGACGCUGAGGCUCGAAAGCGUGGGGAGCAAACAGGAUUAGAUACCCGUGUAGUCCCUGUCUCUUAUAC